CCUACGGGUGGCAGCAGUGAGGAAUAUUGGUCAAUGGACGAGAGUCUGAACCAGCCAAGUAGCGUGAAGGAUGACUGCCCUAUGGGUUGUAAACUUCUUUUAUAUGGGAAUAAAAUGCUCUACGUGUGGGAUUUUGUAUGUACCAUAUGAAUAAGGAUCGGCUAACUACGUGCCAGCAGCCGCGGUAAUACGGAGGAUCCGAGCGUUAUCCGGAUUUAUUGGGUGUAACGGGCGCGUAGGUGGAUUGUUAAGUCAGUUGUGAAAGUUUGCGGCUCAACCGUAAAAUUGCAGUUGAAACUGGCAGUCUUGAGUACAGGAGGGGUAGGCGGAAUUCGUGGUGUAGCGGUGAAAUGCUUAGAUAUCAGGAAGAACACCGAUUGCGAAGGCAGUUCACUGGACUGCAACUGACGCUGAGGCUCGAAAGUGUGGGUAGCAAACAGGAUUAGAUACCCGUGUAGUC
rnacentral:rRNA from 1 species